UGCGGAGGAAAAGAAACUAACAAGGAUUCCCCUAGUAACGGCGAGUGAAGCGGGAAGAGCUCAAAUUUGAAAUCUGGUAGCCUUCGGUUGCCCGAGUUGUAAUCUAGAGAAAUGUUUUCCGUGCCGGCCCAUGUACAAGUCCCUUGGAACAGGGCGUCAUAGAGGGUGAGAAUCCCGUCCUUGACAUGGACCCCCGGUGCUUUGUGAUACAUUUUCAACGAGUCGAGUUGUUUGGGAAUGCAGCUCAAAAUGGGUGGUGAAUUCCAUCUAAAGCUAAAUAUUGGCGAGAGACCGAUAGCGAACAAGUACCGUGAGGGAAAGAUGAAAAGCACUUUGGAAAGAGAGUUAAACAGUACGUGAAAUUGUUGAAAGGGAAACGAUUGAAGUCAGUCAUGCUCUUUGGUAUUUAUAUCAUUGAGUGGGGUCAACAUCAGUUUUGAUCGAUGGAUAAAGGCACUAGGAAGGUAGCACUCUCGGGUGAACUUAUAGCCUAGCGUCAUAUACAUUGAUUGGGACUGAGGAACGCAGCAUGCCUUUAUGGCCGGGAUUCGUCCACGUACAUGCUUAGGAUGUUGACAUAAUGGCUUUAAACGACCCGUCUUGAAAA
rnacentral:rRNA from 1 species